rnacentral:lncRNA from 10 species
AGACAACUGAGAGGAAGGAGGUACCACGGGCACUCUCUCGCGAGAGGGCCGCAGAGCCGCCUUUGACGGGGGCGUGUACCUGGAGAGCAACGCAGGCAAUCAAGCUGGCUAGGUUCCUGCCACAAGUUCAGACUAGUCUUCUGUAGGAGCCUAUGAGGUUGGUCCUAUUUUUACUCUCACUUAUCCCUACUUACCAGAUGAGGAUCCUGAGGCUCAGAAAAACUCUUGACAAAAUUCUCAGGGAAAACUCUUCAGCUCUGGAUGUCUCCCUUUUUGUGGAUCAAACACAAAGGGCAUCAUUCUAAAAUAUAUACAGAACCAUAAAAGCCCCAAAUAGCCAAAGCAACCCUGAGCAAAAAGAACAAGGCUGGAAGCAUCACACUACCAGACUUCAAAAUUUACUACAAAGCUCUAAUACCUAAAAUAACAUG